UUAAUGCUCCUUGGCUUCAAGAAUUAAAGAUCCUUGGGGAAUUUGUAGGUACUGAAUGUCAUCUGAUUGCCAUGUCCUCCUUAGUUUACGCUAAGCUCACUUUUGCACGUAUUGCCCACGAAGGUAAUGUGGAUGCCUUGUCGCUGGAUUUGGCCAUUAAAGUACUUGAAAGUACACCAAGUUGAGGACCUAGUACUUGUGACAUUCUUCAGUCAGGCAUUGUUAAUAUUGGAAUGUUAGCUAGGCCUUAUCCAUUGUUCAAAUGCAAACAACUGACAGUUCAAUCAACCUCGCUAGAAAACGAGCUCCCUGGGAUAGCAGGUCUUCUACAAAGCUCACCUGAUCUGGAGAAACUAGUGAUAGAAGUGGUGAACUCCGUGCAGGUUUGAUUCUGCCCACCUUUCAUUACUUUGCCUUAACUGUUUGUUGCAUAUGUGAACGUCAGAUACUGAAGUGCAUCAGUAACUUUCUUCAUGAUUUUCUCCCCUCCUAUAGAUUUACCUUGUAAUGAUUCUUUCUUUCUCAGCCAUUAGCAGUGUUUCAAAAACAAAUAUGGUAUGGAAGUUGUUAUCUGACAAAUCUGUCUGUUCUGAUUAGUCAAUUUACAUCUUUGAAAUACAAUCAUUAGUGUGCAACACGGAGAACACAAAAGAUGAAACGUAUCAAAAUCAAACAAAUAGACACAACCUCAAAGAUAAACUCAGGUCCUUUGAGCCUUAAGGGGGGAACAUUCCUCAAAAUAGUUGUCUAAGUUGAUCUGAGGCCGAGUUCUAAGGUA